rnacentral:tRNA from 1 species
GUGUAGCUCAAUGUUAGAGCACUUGCCUAGCAAGUAGGAGGCUAUGGGUUCAAUUCCCAGUAC